rnacentral:rRNA from 1 species
AACGAACGCUGGCGGCAGGCUUAACACAUGCAAGUCGAACGCCCCGCAAGGGGAGUGGCAGACGGGUGAGUAACGCGUGGGAAUCUACCCAGAUCUUCGGAACAACUGAGGGAAACUUCAGCUAAUACCGGAUACGCCCUACGGGGGAAAGAUUUAUCGGUUCUGGAUGAGCCCGCGUUGGAUUAGCUAGUUGGUGGGGUAAUGGCCUACCAAGGCGACGAUCCAUAGCUGGUCUGAGAGGAUGAUCAGCCACACUGGGACUGAGACACGGCCCAGACUCCUACGGGAGGCAGCAGUGGGGAAUAUCGGACAAUGGGCGAAAGCCUGAUCCAGCCAUGCCGCGUGAGUGAUGAAGGCCUUAGGGUUGUAAAGCUCUUUCAGUGGGGAAGAUAAUGACGGUACCCACAGAAGAAGCCCCGGCUAACUUCGUGCCAGCCGCCGCCGUAAUAC